rnacentral:rRNA from 1 species
AGCAGUGGGGAAUAUUGCUACAAUGGGCGCAAGCCUGAUGCAGCCAUGCCGCGUGUAUGAAGUAAGGCCUUCGGGUUGUAAAGUACUUUCAGCAGUGAGGAAGGCGGGUACGUUAAUAGCGUGCUCGUUUGACGUUAGCUGCAGAAGAAGCACCGGCUAACUCCGUGCCAGCAGCCGCGGUAAUACGGAGGGUGCGAGCGUUAAUCGGAAUUACUGGGCGUAAAGCGCAUGCAGGUGGUUUGUUAAGUCAGAUGUGAAAGCCCGGGGCUCAACCUCGGAAUUGCAUUUGAAACUGGCAGACUAGAGUACUGUAGAGGGGGUAGAAUUUCAGGUGUAGCGGUGAAAUGCGUAGAGAUCUGAAGGAAUACCGGUGGCGAAGGCGGCCCCCUGGACAGAUACUGACACUCAGAUGCGAAAGCGUGGGGAGCAAACAGGAUUAGAUACCCUGGUAG